rnacentral:rRNA from 1 species
CCGAAUGGGGAAACCCAGUGUGAUUCGUCACACUAUCAUUAACUGAAUCCAUAGGUUAAUGAGGCGAACCGGGGGAACUGAAACAUCUAAGUACCCCGAGGAAAAGAAAUCAACCGAGAUUCCCCCAGUAGCGGCGAGCGAACGGGGAGGAGCCCAGAGCCUGAAUCAGCAUGUGUGUUAGUGGAAGCGUCUGGAAAGGCGCGCGAUACAGGGUGACAGCCCCGUACACAAAAGCGCAUGUGCUGUGAGCUCGAUGAGUAGGGCGGGACACGUGGUAUCCUGUCUGAAUAUGGGGGGACCAUCCUCCAAGGCUAAAUACUCCUGACUGACCGAUAGUGAACCAGUACCGUGAGGGAAAGGCGAAAAGAACCCCGGCGAGGGGAGUGAAAAAGAACCUGAAACCGUGUACGUACAAGCAGUGGGAGCACAGGUUUACCUGUGUGACUGCGUACCUUUUGUAUAAUGGGUCAGCGACUUAUAUUCUGUAGCAAGGUUAACCGUAUAGGGGAGCCGGAGGGAAACCGAGUCUUAA